UACGGGGGGGGCAAGCGUUGUUCGGAAUUACUGGGCGUAAAGGGCUCGCAGGCGGCCAACUAAGUCAUACGUGAAAUCCCUCGGCUUAACCGGGGAACUGCGUCUGAUACUGGAUGGCUUGAGUUCGGGAGAGGGAUGCGGAAUUCCAGGUGUAGCGGUGAAAUGCGUAGAUAUCUGGAGGAACACCGGUGGCGAAGGCGGCAUCCUGGACCGACACUGACGCUGAGGAGCGAAAGCCAGGGGAGCAAACGGG
rnacentral:rRNA from 1 species